GUGUGGAGGAGACCCCAGUUGAGGCAGAACAUUGCAGGUAAAGAAGGGGAAGAAGAGGCCGAGAAGUCGAGGGCCAGACUGUGAAGGAGAAUAAAGGAGGUCAAAGAGAGGUCAUAUCGUCGUACCUCACUUCCUGACACAAACAAGUUUUUACUGUUGUCAGCAACAAAGCCCUAAUAUAGCUGCGGAAGAGAAAAACUGCAUUGCAUUUGCCUCCUGCAAGCAUCAUCAACACGGUUACCGGAGGAAUGUAAUUCCAGAAAAGCUUUAAAGCUGGUGUGAUGGUAAUUAUGUAUCAAAUGCCUGAUUCUAUUUCUGUUAUUAUUUUGUCAUUUCUGAUCUACUCAAGAGCAGGCUGAACUCGCAGAGGGACAAAUCCAGUUUUUCUUUUUCCCUUGGUAAAAUUUAAUCGGACCUGAUACAAAACUCAUUGCUCUUGGGGAAAAUAAAGUAGGAGCCGCGAAAUGUAAUUUUAACAGAGCGUGGGUUUUGUGACUGUAGGAAAGGAUUUAAGGACGCGCCUUCUGUUCGGUUUCCUAUGUAAUGAGCAAAGGCUACACGCACGCACAGACGCCACAGCUCCCGGAUGCUGUGGCUCACUUAUCUGGGCUUCUGCAGCGCCAGAAGCCCCUCCGGGAUGCUGCGAGGGGCUCUCGGUGGGUGGUGGUACAAACGCUGCGGCCGCUGCCGCCAGUCCUGCCGCUGCUGUUGUUGCUGCUGCAGUCACGUGGGAGGCCCUUUAAGUUUCCAUAGAGAGGCCUCUCCGGUGUCACAUGAUGGACAUGAUAUAAUGAAACAACAUUGUGGAGAGGAAAGCAUUAGGGGAGCCCACGGCUACAAAAACAAGUGAGUGAGAAGAGGUGGGAGGAAGAGAAACUACGCCACCUCCCCUGCAGCCGAGCCGCACGCAGCAGCAGCCCGCGGGAAGUGGGCGACGCCGGGGGGGAAGGGAGACCCGGUCCCCAGCCCCGUCCCGGGGACCCCGCUGCCCACCGCCAAGAGAACAACUUUUAGCCGGCAGCCUCGGCCAGCACUGCACCUGUCUCCGGAGCCUCCAUCGCUCCUCGUGAUGAUCAAAGGGGCAUUCUAGAAGAAUAUAUUCUACAAAUAUACAUGCGCAUCAUUUUCCCCCUUGCGUCUCGCUCCGGAGGAAGGAAAGAGAAAGGGAUUUAAGUAGCAGCGUGUGUUCAGCCCCAAGCUUGCCUUUCUUCAGAGAGAGUCUGAGGCAACCCUACAGCAAAAAUACAUAAAAUGAAAAAGCAUAUAACAGAAAAUCAGAAAUAAGAAAAAGGGUGAAAAGAGCUGGGAUAUUUUAUCAACUGGAGUUUCUCUGCCUCGCUGAUGAUCUAAGCUCAAACCUGCCAGUUUCUGGGAGAUGAUAGAAAACGCCCUCUAACAUCUGAGUUGCAAAAAUAUCUGCCUCUAAGAACUCAGGAGGACCUACUUUGUGGGAGCAAAGGUAGUGAGUCAUACCCGCAAGCUUGGAAACGAGUGUUCACUUGCGCCUCUUCAUCCAGUCGGGACGUUUCCUCGGCAACCAUUUAUGCAGCAAUUAAAAGAUGAGUUAAGAGGAGAAAAUGGAAGAAACGGAGGUAACUUUUAAUGGAACAGAAUAAACCACUGAACAGGGAAGGAAGAAAGGAUGGAGUUUGAACUGAUUUGCUGGGAAUCAUGUUCAGAAUGCAUCCAGGAUAUCGAAGUGUAAAAGGGUGCCUUGAUUUUCCCACUGAGAAAAGUGAGGAGGCUGCGAUACACCUGUGGACAGGGUCAGAAGCUUUACUUCUCAGCUCAGAACUUGCCAUGUCUCUUUCCGGCUCAGGAAGUACGAUGCUCCACACAGACAGGCGUCGAUGUACGAGAAAGUUAAUGGCGCAGAAUGCUGCUGACUGCAUGGUUCUCCUCUUAAUACAUUUUCCAGCCUUGAACCUGAGAAUGCCAGAGGCUCAAGUCUCUGAAUGCUCGUCUGAGCCGUUAUCUGCUGGUGGCCUGGUUCCUGAGCUAACAAGUGGGUGUCCCAGGCGUGCGUGUGGUAAUAGCAGCAGUGGUGCCACGUGGCGCCCAGAGGUCGCCUUGGUCUGUCCUGGAGAUUCCUGGUCCUCAGUGAAGCUUCUGAGUUGAACUGUGAACUUGGGGCAUCCUGAGAAGCGCAGGCAUUUUGGCGUUCCACAGCAAACCUGGAUGUUAAGUGUAAACACAGCUUAUAAAGUGAAAGCAGGGGCCUUGAGGAAGGGAAUUACCCUCAUCUCGUUCCCGACCUGCUUACUGUGCUGGAAAACAAAGUUCCAGUGCCUCUCUCAGAAGAUCCCUGAGGCCCGCUUCUCUGCCCUGGACCACGUCUUUACCUGUGUUCCUCCCUUUUCCUCGUCUGUUCAUCUGCUGACACCUGUGCAUUCUUAGGAGUCGUCUCAGACAUAAGCUACCUGAAAGGGGAGACUUUUUUUCUCUGUGUCACAAUGUCUGGCAUAUCACUGUUGCUCACCACUAUAGAGGGAAUAAAGGGAGACAGGAUAAAAGCAGGCCAAGACCCAGAUCACCGACUGAUUCUUCCUGGGCAUGAUGGAGCUCAGGAAAGAACUAAGCUAAGCUCCAGGCCCAAGAGCAAAGGCACAGCCAGUCAGUGCGGGCGAAGAGAAGUCCAUCACCUCGCGGAGCUGGCCAGCUAAGCUCUCCUUCCAGCCCGCCCUCCUGCUUCUCACUCAGAAUGCUUCUGUGGAAGAGUCCAGGCUCCGUGGCAGGACCCACCCACCUAUAUUGCACACCUUUUUGAUAUGUGCCCUAAGUACCGUCCAGAGUCUAGGUCUCAAGAAUUAUUUGCUGAUGGACUUAAUAACUUAUUUGACAGGCGGCAAGAGCACAUCCUGAAGAGUCAAUUAAGAUCUGUGUUAAAUCAACUGUACUUCAAUUUUUAAAAAAAAGAACAAGGAAGGGAAAAAAAUGGCGUGCGUUUCUGACCGUCUGUGGGUAUGAGGCACUGCGCUGGCCUCUGUGGGCCAGCAGGGAGAAGGCAUUGUUCUGUGCCUGCAAGGAACUGACCGUCUAGCAGUCUAGCUGGGGAGAAGACAGAGCACGCAGGCCACGUUAGGGAACGAGAUAGCAGAUGUGAACGUGUCACAGGCAGUGUGUGAUUAAUUGCCAAACGAAGAGCUCAAGAACGUGGUGGGGAUUGAGCAAGAUAAUGUAUGUCCAAGUGCCUCAGCCCUUCAGCGCCCCUGAGCCCAGCCAGCCCUGCCGUCCGCCUCUCUCACACACCCUGUUGAUCCACCGCAUACGAUGUAGGUACCUGGCCAGUGCAAAGCCCCUCAUGCCCAGGCCCCAGCCCACCUCCCAGCCCCGUGUGCCCCCCAACCCUUCAACCCAAUGCUGCAGAGAUACCGAAGAGAACUCGCCAUCUUAUUUCUGUAGCGCCCACCAUCCUUCCUUGUCCAAACUUGUCCCUCCGUUAAAACCCUCCUUUUCCUUUAAAAUUCAGCCUAGAGUUCCUCCGUAAAGCCUGCUGGGUCUGCAGGCAGAGCUCCUUCCACAUGCUAGGCGGCGAUGCUCGCGUGCUUCUGUCCUGCCGGGGAUGUAAACUCCUGCCGCAGGGACAGUGUCUUUUCCCUUCAUUCUCGGAGCACCUGACAUGCUGUCUGACGUGGAGCACACGUCCCUUAAGUGUUUUUCGUUGACAGAAAGGACUUAACACAUUGGAAGGACUGAGCAAACAUCGGUUGGCUUUGCACGGUUAAGACGUAAGUGCUGUGACUGCAGGAGAGGGUGACAUGCCUGAGUGGUCCAGGGAGGCUCCGUAGAGCGAGAAGGGAAUAGAGAACUGAACCUUCGUGGUUUUGUACACCUAAAACAGGCAAGGAAUGAGAAGGAUCCUGGGUGGAGUAGCUCAGUGUCUGUGGCUGCUGGCAACCCAACCGGCCUCUCAAAAGAGAAAAACAGACCAGAGGGAGGGAGCCCCGCAGAGUGGGGCGGUGGAGGCAUCCGAUUUUAGUUGGAGCAGAGGGUUUACCUAAAGGAAGUCGAGAGAAUGCCCUGGAGGAAGUUUGGACUUAGGUGGAGGAAAGACCUCAAAAGCAAUGGGCUAUCUUGCUGGCAGCAGACGCCCUUUGUUACUUUGGAAAACCAUGGUGACUUGAUCAAAGUGGUGUUGAAAGUGGGAGCUGCCCUGUGGCCCUGGCUUCCUUUUGUACUGCAGCCAGAGGCCCAGGUGGUGACCAAGAUGCUUAGCCCCCAGGUGUGAAGCCCCUCUGCUACGCAGAGCCUCACCCGGAAAGGCUCUAGAAACAAAGGUUUUCCUUCUGACGCUGCCCUUGACCUGGCUCUGAGCUGUUGAUUCUUUGGGUCCAUUCAGCUCUGUCCUGUCCUUCUACCCUCGUGACUGGCAAUGACCUGGAGAGUGGCAGCACCCCUGCAGCAGGUGGCCUCCAGAGCUGAGUCACCGCCCUGGGAACGGUGCCCUGGCAAACCGGGAGCUCUGCACUUCACCCGGCUCUGCAAGGCUCUCAGGGUACCGCCAGAGCUGCGGAGAAAGCUUCAUGCAUCUAGAGUGUCACCAAGCUGAUAGGAAAGUGAAAUAAAGGCAGUUGAAGACCAAAAAGGAAACUGUCCUAAUGGUAGUUUCUAGCUGGUAUGUUUGGCAAAGUACAAAGAGUUUUUCUCACAAGUAUACUUAACGGGCUGUGGUGGUUUUAUUUGAACAUACCAAAAUUAUCCAUUUACGGAUAUCUUUAAGAAUGGAAUGAAGAGGAUUUUAAAACGAUGGUUGGAGAUUCUGUUAGACCUUGUAAAUUAAGAGAGCUGAAGGAAUGAAAGUGAUAUGAAGAGAUAUCUUAAGCUGUCACUAUUCUCGGAAAUGAGCAAAUGAGGUUUAGGGGUUCUUUAAGUUUUCUUUAUCAAUCAUAGAUACUCUGAUGGCUGUUGUUUUUAAAAAAUUAUGGUGCUUUUAGUUCAUCCCAGAGAAGAUAAAAAUGUAGUGUUGUUCUUGAAAGGAGGGUUGGUUUGUUUUUGUUUUUGAUGUUUUUUUUGUUGUGUUUAAGUCCGGCUUGUUUACUACACCAAUGAAUAGAGAUGACCUCAGUCUAAAAAAACAAGUUAACCAUAAUCU